AACCCUGAGGCGUGAUGACGAGUCACUACGGUGAUGAAGUAGUUGAUGCCAAGCUUCCAGGAAAAGCCUCUAAGCUCUAGGUAACAUUGAAUCGUACCCCAAACCGACACAGGUGGUCAGGUAGAGAAUACCAAGGCGCUUGAGAGAACUCGGGUGAAGGAACUAGGCAAAAUGGUGCCGUAACUUCGGGAGAAGGCACGCUGGCGCGUAGGUGAAGUCCCUUGCGGAUGGAGCUGAAGCCAGUCGAAGAUACCAGCUGGCUGCAACUGUUUAAUAAAAACACAGCACUGUGCAAACACGAAAGUGGACGUAUACGGUGUGACGCCUGCCCGGUGCUGGAAGGUUAAUUGAUGGGGUCAGCCGCAAGGCGAAGCUCUUGAUCGAAGCCCCAGUAAACGGCGGCCGUAACUAUAACGGUCCUAAGGUAGCGAAAUUCCUUGUCGGGUAAGUUCCGACCUGCACGAAUGGCGUAAUGAUGGCCAGGCUGUCUCCACCCGAGACUCAGUGAAAUUGAACUCGCUGUGAAGAUGCAGUGUACCCGCGGCAAGACGGAAAGACCCCGUGAACCUUUACUAUAGCUUGACACUGAACAUUGAGCCUUGAUGUGUAGGAUAGGUGGGAGGCUUUGAAGUGUGGACGCCAGUCUGCAUGGAGCCAACCUUGAAAUACCACCCUUUAAUGUUUGAUGUUCUAACUCCGGUCCCUAAUCGGGAUUGAGGACAGUGUCUGGUGGGUAGUUUGACUGGGGCGGUCUCCUCCUAAAGAGUAACGGAGGAGCACGAAGGUUAGCUAAUCACGGUCGGACAUCGUGAGGUUAGUGCAAUGGCAUAAGCUAGCUUGACUGCGAGAGUGACGGCUCGAGCAGGUACGAAAGUAGGUCAUAGUGAUCCGGUGGUUCUGAAUGGAAGGGCCAUCGCUCAACGGAUAAAAGGUACUCCGGGGAUAACAGGCUGAUACCGCCCAAGAGUUCAUAUCGACGGCGGUGUUUGGCACCUCGAUGUCGGCUCAUCACAUCCUGGGGCUGAAGUAGGUCCCAAGGGUAUGGCUGUUCGCCAUUUAAAGUGGUACGCGAGCUGGGUUUAGAACGUCGUGAGACAGUUCGGUCCCUAUCUGCCGUGGGCGUUGGAAGAUUGAGAGGGGCUGCUCCUAGUACGAGAGGACCGGAGUGGACGCAUCACUGGUGUUCGGGUUGUCAUGCCAAUGGCAUUGCCCGGUAGCUAAAUGCGGAAAAGAUAAGCGCUGAAAGCAUCUAAGCGCGAAACUUGCCUCGAGAUGAGUCUUCCCUGAGACCUUGAGUCUCCUAAAGGAACGUUUAAGACUAAGACGUUGAUAGGCUGGGUGUGUAAGCGUAGCGAUACGUUGAGCUAACCAGUACUAAUGAUCCGUGAGGCUUAACCUUACAACACCGAAGGUGUUU
rnacentral:rRNA from 1 species